CGGACGGGUAAGUAAUGUCUGGGAAACUGCCUGAUGGAGGGGGAUAACUACUGGAAACGGUAGCUAAUACCGCAUAACAUCGCAAGACCAAAGAGGGGGACCUUAGGGCCUCUUGCCAUCGGAUGUGCCCAGAUGGGAUUAGCUAGUAGGUGGGGUAACGGCUCACCUAGGCGACGAUCCCUAGCUGGUCUGAGAGGAUGACCAGCCACACUGGAACUGAGACACGGUCCAG
rnacentral:rRNA from 1 species